GUAUGUAUAUGUAUAUAUGUAUGUGUGUGUGUAUGCAUAUACAUGCAUAUGCAUGCACAUAUACACCAUGAGGGUGCUUCUACAUGUUCACUCAACUUGUUAGAAAUAGCAGCCAAAUCUCUCCCAUCACUCCCUUUCAAACAUUAGGUAAUAUCGUCCAGAAUACAUGAAAGGUCAUAGGCAAAAUACCUCAAAGUUAACCUGGGGCUAAGGAACAACUAACAUUUAUGUGCUGUACAUGUGAUACUGUUUCCUGUGAGUACAUGUGUGCAUGUACAAAGAUUAUUGAAUAUACAUAUGUUAGCCAUAUAAGUACAAUCCAUGUAGAACUGUCUCAUGUUUGUAGUAACUGACUUAAAGCGUUGUAUACUUCCUAUACAAUCCAGACACAUGUCUGAUAUACUCUGUAAAACUGAAGGAAUAUGUUCUUUAAGUCCUGCCUUCCUUGUCCUGUUGCACUUAUGCAAUAACAAACAAUACAUGUUUUCAAUCACAAGUAUGUUAUAUGGAACCCUCUUUCACAAAAAAGAUAGUGAAAAACAAAUUUUGUAUAUGCAAUAUGCUUAUAUAAAUACACACACACACACACACACACACACACAUGCUUUCAGAUAGGUAGGCAAUGAUAACUUUGGUAAAAUCUUAUUGCAUUUUCAUUUGUACUCUCAGUAUUUAGAAAUUUUUAGUUUAAGGAUGUGGUUACUGUUUUUACCAGGCUGAACAACCAUGUAGAGGUUCUACCAUUAUCUGUGUGUGUAUUUAUGGUUUAGAGUUUAGACAAGUGAUUGCUGCUCAAAUAUUUUAAGCAGCCAAAUUACAACCCACUUAGCAGAUGAACCCUAUGUCAAGAAAUUAUCAUUAUUAUUAUUAUUAUUAUUAUUAUUAUUAACCUAAAAUGAUCAGUUUUAAAUGCUUCUCUAAACUUUAUAUUCUUUUACUUACUUUGCUGAAUGUCUAAAGACUGGCUUUGUUUUAAUCUCAUAAAAACAAUUGUUUAUAAUUUUGUCUUAUUUGAUGACUAAUAAACAGGCUUGAUUACAGA